GGGUGCAGGGUUCAGGGGCCACAGAUGGGCACUUUGCUUGGCAAAAGGCACCCGGCCCCACCCCCAGAAAACUGUCCUUCCAGCUGCCAGACAGGAAGAGCAGGGGCCAGGGUGGGGGCAGAGAGAACAGGAGGAAGACAGCCCGGAGCUGGCAUGCCCUCUGGAAGAGAAGUCCAGUGUUGGCAGUGAUGACAAUGAGGAAUUUCCUUUUAAAGAGAACCACAGCCUCUCAGAGCUGCCCUGGACAAUUCUCCAGCCCACAGAAAGAAAUGGAAGCCCUAAAAUGUGAUAGACAUCUCCAAACACACAAGGAUCUACCCUUGCUUUAUCCACCAGCUGUGUGAUCUCAGGGAAAUACCUUCACCUCUCUGAGCCUCAGGAUCCUCAUCUCCAGUGUAA
ensembl:lncRNA